UACGUAGGGUGCGAGCGUUAAUCGGAAUUACUGGGCGUAAAGCGUGCGCAGGCGGUGAUGUAAGACAGAUGUGAAAUCCCCGGGCUCAACCUGGGAACUGCAUUUGUGACUGCAUCGCUGGAGUGCGGCAGAGGGGGAUGGAAUUCCGCGUGUAGCAGUGAAAUGCGUAGAUAUGUGGAGGAAUACCGAUGGCGAAGGCAGCCCCCUGGGAGUAACACUGACGCUCAUGCACGAAAGCGUGGGGAGGCAAAC
rnacentral:rRNA from 1 species